GCUUGUGCCCAACAUUUGGCUUCCGUUUUAAUCCUAUCCACUAAUGCUUCUAUCGAUGUCCGUGUGUUUUCGAAAACACAUUCAUUGCGCUGCUUCCAGAUCAUCCAAGGGACAAGCAUGGCGAUGGAUUGCAAGCCUUUGCGCAGCGCGUGCGGUGUCCUCUCUUCGUUCGCUGCCACCAGUCUGUGAGUGAGGGGUCGUUGUGUGGUGGCUGUGCUGGAAUGCGACUUUGCAGGAACAUUGGUUAAGCCAUCAAUUACUACAAAUGAAAUCGACAGGGCAGUGCAUCAUAUGAUAGUUGAGGCGGGUGCUUAUCCUUCUCCACUUGGCUAUGGCGGAUUUCCUAAAAGUAAAUGAGUGUGCCUGCCACGGACUACCUGAUUCAACACAGCUGCAGAAUGGAGACAUCAUAAAUAUUGAUGUAAAUGUGUUCCUAAAUAAAGCAGAGUAUGCCAUUUCAGCGCACUACGAUCACACCUGUGUCUGGGAGGAAGUUCUUCAGAACAAGUGCUUAAACAAGUACAAUCACACUGCUAUCGACGGGCAAUUUUACUUUUAUCAGUCUGAGGGCCUGUGAAGUUUAAUGCCUCUGGCCAAGAUCCUGUUCUACCGAGUUAUGUGCCCGAAGGUUCUUUCAUGCCUUUGGUCCAAUGAGGUCAACCGUUUCACCUCACGUGAUAAAUCGAGUUUUACAUACACUUACUUGAAGCUCAUGAGAAUGAACGCUGGAAGAUAUUUUCACCUAAAUAUGUUUAAGGACUGUGAAAGAAGAGCAGUACCUAAACUGUUCCAUCACCAAACUAAAGAAACUACAGAUCCACCCCCGACAAACCUUCGUACGGAUAAAAAUCAUUCAUCGAUGCCAAUCUAAGACUGCCAUUGAGGAAUUGAGGGCGGGGAUACUCUAUUCAUUUUGAUGCAUGUACCAUGCAUCCAGUCUGUGGUGGGGGUGGAGCAGCGAGGCUCGAGAACCCAGGCAGCGGACGCCUCAUGACUUGGAGGAGCGACGAUACGGACAAGGAGCAGUAGCCUCAUGGAUCUACAGGGAAGCGUCACCGAGGGAUGGCUGAUGUCAAGGCACACAUAGCUCUGGCUGCCGCGGAUAGGCAGUACUCAACGGAUGAUAUCCUCCUGACUCUGACUGAACCCUGUUUCGUGCAAACAUGCUCUGUAUUUUUUUUUUGGUAGGAACAUUAAGCUCUAAAGACAUAAUUAUUCAGACUGCAAGAUUUUUGCUUUGGGUUUCAGAAAAACUGUACAGACCUGCUUGCUGUAGUAUCCGUGUUAUGUACUUAGUGUCAAAUACAAAGUUCAAAUAUCAUUUGAUACAAGGAACAGGCAUCCGAACUUUAUAAAAGUAGAUAUAGCAAACAUUAGGCUUGAUUGCAUUAAUAAUUUAUAUAGUUGCAGAUGAACUUACUUCUGGUACUAAUCCUUUGAUGCUUUCCUUUUUAUUUUCACCAGUACAAGAUUAAGCUUGACAGUGAAAUCUUGGAUAGUAAGUAACACCCUUUCUGCAUAUUUAGAAUCUGUAUGCAAACUCACACCAGGUGCCAGAUGCAUCAUAGUUAAUAAAAAAAACUUCUGCUGUAAUGGAGGUACUGCUCUUUAGUAGUUUGCUUAAUUUGAUUUUAUCACCUCAAGUGUUUUACACAAAAUUUGAACUAUGUGCAUCUACUAGUUCCUUUGAAGAUUCCGCCUAAUCUUUAGAAACAGAAAAUUAGAAGUAUAUAUUGUCCGCUAGAUGCAAGCAUAAGUAGCUUAAAACUGAAACGCCGGCAUCUCGGACCUCCUCCAUGGUUUGCCAGGCUACCAAGAUCAAUAAUGUAGCGGCAUGAGGAGGGAAUUUGAUCAAGGCAUAAGUAGGACCCAACCAGCCUCAUUUCUAAAGAUCAGGACCCAACCAGCCUCAUUUCUAAAGAUCAGGAUCCAA